GGCGAACGGGUGCGUAACACGUGAGAAACCUGCCCCGUGACUUGGGAAUAACAGUCGGAAACGACUGCUAAUACCGAAUAUCUCCGUAGCGUCUGCAUGGCGCAUCGAAGAAAGCUUUUUGCGGUCUGGGAGGGUCUCGCGGCCUAUCAGCUAGUUGGUGAGGUAACGGCUCACCAAGGCAUCGACGGGUAGCUGGUCUGAGAGGAUGAUCAGCCACACUGGGACUGAGACACGGCCCAGACUCCUACGGGAGGCAGCAGUGGGGAAUAUUGCACAAUGGGCGAAAGCCUGAUGCAGCAACGCCGCGUGCGGGAAGAAGGCCUUAGGGUUGUAAACCGGUUUCAGCAGGGAAGAAACUGACGGUACCUGCAGAAGAAGGUGCGGGCAACUACGUGCCAGCAGCCGCGG
rnacentral:rRNA from 1 species